rnacentral:rRNA from 1 species
AACGAACGCUGGCGGCAGGCUUAACACAUGCAAGUCGAGCGCCCCGCAAGGGGAGCGGCAGACGGGUGAGUAACGCGUGGGAAUCUACCCAUCUCUACGGAAUAACGCAUGGAAACGUGUGCUAAUACCGUAUACGUCCUUCGGGAGAAAGAUUUAUCGGAGAUGGAUGAGCCCGCGUUGGAUUAGCUAGUUGGUGGGGUAAAGGCCUACCAAGGCGACGAUCCAUAGCUGGUCUGAGAGGAUGAUCAGCCACACUGGGACUGAGACACGGCCCAGGCUCAUACGGGAGGCAGCAGUGGGGAAUAUUGGACAAUGGGCGCAAGCCUGAUCCAGCCAUGCCGCGUGAGUGAUGAAGGCCCUAGGGUUGUAAGGCUCUUUCACCGGUGAAGAUAAUGACGGUAACCGGAGAAGAAGCCCCGGCUAACUUCGUGCCAGCCGCCGCCGUAACAC